rnacentral:rRNA from 1 species
CUAAGCAUAUCAAUAAGCGGAGGAAAAGAAACCAACAGGGAUUGCCUCAGUAACGGCGAGUGAAGCGGCAACAGCUCAAAUUUGAAAUCUGGCCUCUUCGGCCUCCGAGUUGUAAUUUGAAGAGGAUGUUUCGGAGUGACCUGGGCCUAAGUUCCUUGGAACAGGACGUCAUGGAGGGUGAGAAUCCCGUACAUGGCUGCAGGUCUACUCCAUGUGAAGCUCCUUCGAAGAGUCGAGUUGUUUGGGAAUGCAGCUCAAAAUGGGUGGUAAAUUUCAUCUAAAGCUAAAUAUUGGCGGGAGACCGAUAGCGCACAAGUAGAGUGAUCGAAAGAUGAAAAGCACUUUGAAAAGAGAGUUAAACAGUACGUGAAAUUGUUGAAAGGGAAGCGCUUGCAAUCAGACUCGCCUUCAGUUGAUCAACCUUCCUUCUGGUUGGUGCACUCUGCUGUUGGCGGGCCAGCAUCAGUUGGGGCGGUGGGACAAAGGCAGUGGGAAUGUGGCUCGCUUCGGUGAGUGUUAUAGCCCAUUGUGUCAUGCUGCCAGCCCCGACUGAGGUCCGCGGUUCGCCUAGGAUGCUGGCUUAAUGGUUGUAAGCGACCCGUCUUGAAACACGGACCAAGGAGUCUAACAUCUAUGCGAGUCUUUGGGUGUAAAACCCAUGGGCGAAAUGAAAGUGAACGGAGGUGGGAGUCCUCGGAUGCACCAUCGACCGAUCCUGAUGUUCUCGGAUGGAUUUGAGUAGGAGCAUAGCUGUUGGGACCCGAAAGAUGGUGAACUAUGCCUGAAUAGGGUGAAGCCAGAGGAAACUCUG